rnacentral:lncRNA from 1 species
UCAACCCAGCUUGUUUCCUGCAACUUUUACCUUCUUAAAACUUGAUAAAAGCAACAACAAGCAAAUGACAUUGUUACGGAUCAUUUCCAGCAUUACCAGGACUGUUGCUUUAUGGGAUGAAUAGUGGGACAAAUUCUUGCUGCCCAAAUAUAACCUGCUCCCCUACUGGUCCACGCUUCACCCUGGGGCACCCAAGACCAUGUAAAACCUGAAACUACUGUAGAAUUUGGACAUUUCCAUUCCUUUCUAUAGGGAGUACAAGAUGUCAAAUGAGCACCAGCACUACAUGCUUUGAACCAGUAUCCAAAACAUGUGCUGUUUUAUUUUAGCAGGGUCAUAUGUCAUUAUGAUCCAAUCUCUUUUUGCAAUGAUCGUGUUAGUGAAUUAACCUAAUAACAUUUUAAUUAUAUUAUUC